rnacentral:rRNA from 1 species
AUUGAACGCUGGCGGCAGGCCUAACACAUGCAAGUCGAACGAGUGGCGGACGGGUGAGUAAUGUCUGGGAAACUGCCUGAUGGAGGGGGUUAACUACUGGAAACGGUAGCUAAUACCGCAUACCAUAAGAUGUGCCCAUAUGGGCUUAGCUAGUUGGUGGGUGACCGGCUGACCAAGGCGACGAUCCCUAGCUGGUCUGAGAGGAUGACCAGCCCCAGUGGAACUGAGACACGGUCCAGACUCCUACGGGAGGCAGCAGUGGGGAAUAUUGCACAAUGGGCGCAAGCCUGAGACAGCCAUGCCGCGUGUAUGAAGAAGGCCUUCGGGUUGUAAAGUACUUUCAGCGGUGAGGCGUUACCCGCAGAAGAAGCACCGGCUAACUCCGUGCCAGCCGCCGCGGUAAUUC